GACCGAGGGUGCAAACGUUGUUCGGAAUUACUGGGCGUAAAGCGAGUGUAGGCGGUCUGAAAAGUCAGGUGUGAAAGCCCUGGGCUCAACCCAGGAAGUGCACUUGAAACUGCCAGGCUAGAGUAUCGGAGAGGUUGGUGGAAUUCUCGGUGUAGAGGUGAAAUUCGUAGAUAUCGAGAGGAACACCGGUGGCGAAGGCGGCCAACUGGACGAAUACUGACGCUGAGACUCGAAAGCGUGGGGAGCAAACAGG
rnacentral:rRNA from 1 species